GUGCCUGUAGCUCAACUGGCAGAGCACUUGACUGUGGAUCAAGUGGUUGCGGGUUCAAAUCCCGUCAGGCACC
rnacentral:tRNA from 1 species